UACGUAGGGGGCAAGCGUUGUCCGGAUUUAUUGGGCGUAAAGAGCGUGUAGGCGGCCAAGCAGGUCCGCUGUGAAAACUCGAGGCUCAACCUCGAGACGUCGGUGGAAACCGUUUGGCUAGAGUCCGGAAGAGGAGAGUGGAAUUCCCGGUGUAGCGGUGAAAUGCGCAGAUAUCGGGAAGAACACCCGUGGCGAAGGCGGCUCACUGGACCGGUACUGACGCUGAAGCGCGAAAGCGUGGGGAGCAAACGGG
rnacentral:rRNA from 1 species